UACGUAGGGUGCGAGCGUUAAUCGGAAUUACUGGGCGUAAAGCGUGCGCAGGCGGUUCUGAAAGUCAGCUGUGAAAGCCCCGGGCUUAACCUGGGAACGGCGGUUGAAACUACAGGACUAGAAUCUGGCAGAGGGGGGUGGAAUUCCACGUGUAGCAGUGAAAUGCGUAGAGAUGUGGAGGAACACCGAUGGCGAAGGCAGCCCCCUGGGCUGAGAUUGACGCUCAGGCACGAAAGCGUGGGGAGCAAACAGG
rnacentral:rRNA from 1 species